GGUCCAGGCGCGCGGCUGGGAGCGUUUCCGGACGGCUCGAGGCGGGCGUGGCUCGGCUGAGUGCGGCGCUCGAGGCCCGAGUGGCUUAAGUGUGCGCGGCGUCCCGCGAAGUCUGCUAAGUUGAGUAACAGGCAGGCAGUCACACGAAUGGGAACAGGAAGAUGGUACAGAUUGGAAGACAGUGACGUGGUGGAGGCCUGGGGUUCGCCCCACAGCAGGCUCACCUUUACCAUAUUGUGUGGCUGUGUCCUUGCUGGGCUGAGGUGCUUGCAAGGAUCAACACCUCCUCACAGGACCUCACGUGAAGAAAGGAGCUGAUCACCCAUGAACUUGCACAGGCAGAGUCUCUGGCCUGCUUCCGUGGCCCACCAUGACUCCAGUAGUCUUCAGACGACGGGGAACUGGACUGACAAGGCCACCUACCUCUGGGCAGCCUGACCUUGGCCUGGGCUCCUCCUUGGCUUCCUGGGGCCACCUCUGCUUCUGCCCGAGGCCCUGUCCACGGCCACAGCUGGGUCGAAAUGGCCACUGGUGGCCAGUGCUGCCCUGCUACACUUCCACUUUGAGGCAGGGACCCUGAUCCCUGGCUGGCAGCUGUCAUGCAGGCAGCAAGAGGGGAGCCUGAAAAGCCAGCCUUGCAAGGAACAGGGAAGCCCGAGGAGAGGGCAAGAGAUGGGGCAACGGCCAGUUGCAGGAGCGGACGGAACAUGCACAAUACUUUGGAGUGUGCUGUCUCAGCAUUGGCGCAGUUUGUGGUGCCCCAGAACAGCUACGCUGGUAACAUCACAGCUCACCCCUCCCAGAUCCCCACAGUAAGUGCGGUAAGAAUGAAAACGGUGGAACUCCUGUGAGAAGUACGCGAAUGUGACACAGACAGGGACGGAGUGAGCAGGUGGUGCUGUGGGCUCCGCGGUGCUGACAGACGUGCCUGAGGCAGGGUUGUCCCACAACUGCAGUUUGUGUGAAGCGCACUAAAGCAAAGAGCAGUGAGCCCAGGUGCGCUUGAAAUUUCCUCACUCACCACACCAGUGUUCUCAUGUUCCCGAUUGCCUCUUAAGUGACUUGUUUGUUAAGCAAACAUUCAUUUAUUUAGUUAGGGGUUUUUUUUUGUAAGAUUUUAUUUAUUAGCAGAGUGA